AACGAACGCUGGCGGCAUGCCUAACACAUGCAAGUCGAACGAGAUCCUUCGGGGUCUAGUGGCGCACGGGUGCGUAACGCGUGGGAAUCUGCCCUUAGGUUCGGAAUAACAGUUAGAAAUGACUGCUAAUACCGGAUGAUGACGUUAAGUCCAAAGAUUUAUCGCCUGAGGAUGAGCCCGCGUAGGAUUAGCUAGUUGGUGUGGUAAAGGCGCACCAAGGCGACGAUCCUUAGCUGGUCUGAGAGGAUGAUCAGCCACACUGGGACUGAGACACGGCCAGACUCCUACGGGAGGCAGCAGUGGGGAAUAUUGGACAAUGGGCGCAAGCCUGAUCCAGCAAUGCCGCGUGAGUGAUGAAGGCCUUAGGGUUGUAAAGCUCUUUUACCCGGGAUGAUAAUGACAGUACCGGGAGAAUAAGCCCCGGCUAACUCCGUG
rnacentral:rRNA from 1 species